ensembl:lncRNA
CAGAGAUAUUAGCAGAGCUUGGGAAACUGGAUCAGCAGGCUUGAACGUGAGCUCAGGGACGUGAAGCUUGGCUUGGGCGUCAGAGCCUGGAGGCUUGGCUUGGGCGUCAGAGCCUGGAGGCUUGGCUUGGACCUCAGGGAGGUGAGACUUGACUUGGACUUGGAUCUCAGGGACUGGAGGCUUGACUUGGAUCUCAGGGACUGGAGGCUUGACUUGGAUCUCAGGGACUGGAGGCUUGACUUGGAUUUCAGAGUUGAGCUCUGCGUGAAGUUGCCUGUAGUAGUGGGUAAACGGCAGGGCAGGUUCGCCUUCCAGACUUACCCCCCUGAGAAGUUGUUCUAGCUCCUCCUUCGCCUCCGGACUCCCGAAUCGCAUCAUGAAUUCCCCCACAAACUGUUCUACACUGUCCAGAUUCCUACAGUGCUUAUCCAGUUUGAGCUGCACCCAUUGACGGGCCAGUCCAAAGAACCGGGACCACAUGAAUCGGAG